AAAGCUUUAAGUUAAAAAAAACUAUUAACCUUCAAAGUUAAAAUUACAGGUAUUAAUGUAAGCUUUA
rnacentral:tRNA from 1 species